rnacentral:rRNA from 1 species
GACGAACGCUGGCGGCGUGCUUAACACAUGCAAGUCGAACGGAAAGGCCCUUCGGGGUACUCGAGUGGCGAACGGGUGAGUAACACGUGGGUGAUCUGCCCUGCACUUUGGGAUAAGCCUGGGAAACUGGGUCUAAUACCGAAUAGGACCACGCGCUUCAUGGUGUGUGGUGGAAAGCUUUUGCGGUGUGGGAUGGGCCCGCGGCCUAUCAGCUUGUUGGUGGGGUAAUGGCCUACCAAGGCGACGACGGGUAGCCGGCCUGAGAGGGUGACCGGCCACACUGGGACUGAGAGACGGCCCAGACUCCUACGGUAGGCAGCAGUGGGGAAUAUUGCACAAUGGGCGCAAGCCUGAUGCAGCGACGCCGCGUGAGGGAUGACGGCCUUCGGGUUGUAAACCUCUUUCAAUAGGGACGAAGCGCAAGUGACGGUACCUAUAGAAGAAGCACCGGCCAACUACGUG